AAGUCGAACGGUGAAGCCCUUCGGGGUGGAUCAGUGGCGAACGGGUGAGUAACACGUGGGAAAUCUGCCCUGCACUCUGGGACAAGCCUUGGAAACGAGGUCUAAUACCGGAUAUGACCUUCUCCCGCAUGGGGGUUGGUGGAAAGCUCCGGCGGUGCAGGAUGAUCCCGCGGCCUAUCAGCUUGUUGGUGGGGUAAUGGCCUACCAAGGCGACGACGGGUAGCCGGCCUGAGAGGGCGACCGGCCACACUGGGACUGAGACACGGCCCAGACUCCUACGGGAGGCAGCAGUGGGGAAUAUUGCACAAUGGGCGAAAGCCUGAUGCAGCGACGCCGCGUGAGGGAUGACGGCCUUCGGGUUGUAAACCUCUUUCAGCAGGGAAGAAGCGCAAGUGACGGUACCUGCAGAAGAAGCACCGGCUAACUACGUGCCAGCAGCCGCGGUAAUACGUAGGGUGCGAGCGUUGUCCGGAAUUAUUGGGCGUAAAGAGCUCGUAGGCGGCCUGUCGCGUCGGAUGUGAAAGCCCGGGGCUUAACCCCGGGUCUGCAUUCGAUACGGGCAGGCUAGAGUGUGGUAGGGGAGAUCGGAAUUCCUGGUGUAGCGGUGAAAUGCGCAGAUAUCAGGAGGA
rnacentral:rRNA from 1 species